GUCACAGUAGAAAGCCUUCAUAAACGAGACGCUUAGAAUGUUUCACUCACUGUCACUGUUCGCAUCGGAGACGCUCUCUCGACGUCGUGUACCUACGGAUCACUUUCACAGAUUUGCACAACGAGGGCUUUAGGCGAGUGGAAAGUGCGAAAUAUCUACAAUAACAAGACAAGCAGGCAUGAGACAACAACAGAUGCCAGAAGAGUCACCAACUAGUAAGAUUUGACAAAUAAGUUGUCAGAUAAGUUAUAGUUAAAGGUACACUAUGUAACUUUUUUGUUCAAAAUGUGCAGAAUUUAUAUAAUGAGCGAGUCCGUCAUGAAUCCAUCUUCCAAAACCAUGUUUUUGUCUAAAUCUGAAUCACUGCGAUACGCCUAUAAUAAGAUGGGCUAUGCACAGACAUUUUGAGGGGCAGGUGCUUAAGUGAGAAAAAAUGCCACCCCUCUUAUAAUUACUUAAUUACUUUAAAAACAUUUUAAACAGUUUUUACAUAUUGUAGUUGUUACAUACUGUGGAACACUUUUAAAUUGCUUUAAUACAUAUUUCUUUAGUUAAAUAUAAUAAUCCUUUGUUGGCAUUAUGCUGGAAUUGGUAAAUGAGUGAAAUCAAUGUGCAUUAGUGACAGAAAUUAUUAUUUAUUAUUAUUACUAUUAUUAUACUAUUGUUAUUUAGAUACACUGCAAUUACAGUUGCAAGAAUAAUGUUAAGAAAUUAGUGUUUUAAAUGUAAAAAGUUGUUACAUAGUGUACCUUUACUUUUGAAAAACACAUUUAAAUAAUGUAAACACAAACAAAUAAUUUGAACAAGUUAGCUGCAUUUACAUGGACCCGAAUAAUCAGUUUGUAACAGGACUAGAAUAACCACAUAAAUCGGAAUGAAUUAGCGAAAUCCAAUUUAAUUUCAUCCAAAUUGUAAGAGAAAAUUUUUCUAAUCCAUCCGAUAGGACACACUUGAUCAGAUUGAAAAACGAAACUGGAAAGUUCUGCACGUGCAAUGGUGUUAUGACGUAUGAUGCAUAGAACAUGCUGUAGUUGUUGAAUAUAAUGCCAUUAAUGACUGUUGUGUCAAUCUAAAAUUCUCCUUCCACUCAUUGUCUGUAAAGUGGUGGAGGAUAACGUCCCACCAGUCCUUUGCUUCGGACUCUCAUUCACAGUUGGUGCCUUGUUUUGGACACAGGAAGGGGACAUAAACUGCUUGAUGAAAAUAAGCAGCAUGGCACAAAGCUUAAUGUACUCGUUGCCUCCUAAUUAGGAGCCGAAAUAGAUAAAUAUUAAGUCUGCUUUUUAAAAGAAAGAAAAGAAGCAAUGAUAGAAAGAAGAUUAGUAUUUGCCAACAGGGGGAACUCUGUUUAAUCAUGCGGUGUGUGCACGUCAAAAGAUCAAUUCUGAUUUAAAUGUGAACACCAACCCGAUCACUUUAUUUAGCGAUCAUGUAAAUACUUCGGUUCGGAUUCAUCAACUGGAAUUAUUUAAUUACAAUUGAAACAAAAGUUGUCAGUGUAAAUGCAGCUAUUGACCAAAAUGACAAACACAUUGCAUUCUGCGCAUUACACACCUUGGCCAGUUGGAUAUUAUCAACUUCACAAUGAAGUUAUCAGUUCACCCCAAGUCACUUGAAGUUAGGACUUGGGUGGGUCCUGUAAGGCCGUGGUGGGUGGGACACAGGCCACACCGUGGGUUGCCAAAAAAAAAAAAACGCAGACAAACUAAAAAAAAAAAAGUAACUGAAAUCAAUCUGAAGUAGUUAAAUUCAUAGUGAAACACAGUCAAAAACAUUUCUGAAUGACGUAGCAAAACUAAUGCCCAGAUAUAAUUAUUUUAAAAUACGAAAUCUGUGAUGAAUUGGCCUUUUUGUCGUAUUGGUUCCUAGCUCUAGUGCAGCACUCUGGGCGGGACUGACCAGAUACGUGCCGAAAGCGCAGUGUGUUGUAGACUGCAUCCAGAAAACCCUUAACCGCCUUUUAAGGGCCUGGCACAGAUAUCAGUUCACCCCAAGUCAUCACUUGGAGAUAGGACUAGGGUGUGUCCUGUAAGGCCGUGGUGGGUGGGACACAGGCCACACCCUGGGUUGCCAAAAAAACCAAAAACAACGUCGAACGUUAAAAAAAAAGGAAA